UCUAGAACUCGAGGUAUGAGCUGAAAAUCAAACAGUGUCUGGGCUGCAUGACAGAUUCCGACUUCUCCGUUGUUGCUAAGAUUUAAACUUGAAAAUGAAAGAAUUGAGUCUUGGACUCCGCAUGAAAGUUUUAGGUCUAUGUUUUAGCUUUUCAUA
rfam:Populus trichocarpa scaffold_13_contig_91, whole genome shotgun sequence.